UACAGAGGGGGCGAGCGUUGUUCGGAAUUACUGGGCGUAAAGGGCGCGUAGGCGGCCUUCUAAGUCGAACGUGAAAUCCCCGGGCUCAACCCGGGAACUGCGUCCGAUACUGGGAGGCUUGAGUCCGGGAGAGGGAUGUGGAAUUCCAGGUGUAGCGGUGAAAUGCGUAGAUAUCUGGAGGAACACCGGUGGCGAAGGCGGCACCCUGGACCGGUAUUGACGCUGAGGCGCGAAAGCCAGGGGAGCAAACGGG
rnacentral:rRNA from 1 species